CAGCCCUGGGAGCACAGGUGAAGGCAAUACAGCUGUGUGACUGUAAGGGGUAGAGCCUGGCUGCACCUCUCCUCCACCCCAUUUUAAGGCUGACUACCACUGGGGAAGGUUUUCUAGUUGGAAGAUCCCUGCCUUGUGGAAUUUUCCUUACAAGCCUAGCUUUUAAGAAACAGACUUGAGUCUUGUUCCGAGCUGGGGAGAAGAGCAGGUGGUCAGAAGGUACUGCUGACAUCACUUUCUCCAGCAUAUCUGGGCCCCAGCCUUCAUCCAUCCCUGCAGCAGCAAGCAUCUGGGGACUCCUGCAGGUGCCUUGGCCACACCUCCCUUCUUCCCCACUGUCAGAUAAUCAGUGAGCUGGAUUUUCCUUCUUGGCAAAAGAGCUAUAGGAAGCUGGAAAAUCCGAAUGAGCUGAUACAUCUUUUGUUAGAGCUGGUUUAUUACCGAGUGUUUGCUUUUUCCUUUUUCUUUUUUGACAUUUCUAAUAGGGACGCAGUUGUAUAUUGUUUCUUUUUAUAUCUUGAAUUCACUGCAAAUACUGUAGUGAAGGAUAAGAUACUUCACAUUUCCCAUAUUUUGAUAUUUUUAAUAUGGAAUUAAAAGUAUUUGAGGAAAUUGAUUUUUCAACUAAUAAUGUGAGUUAUAGGAGCUGAUAAAUGUGAGAUUAAUGGCUAAGAAAGCAGUCAUUUGAGAUGGAUAAUUUAGAUUUUUAUCAUUUAUUAAUCAUAAAAAGUAAACCUGCUGUAUAACUAAUUUUAGUUUUAUCAAGAAGAUGAAUUGUUCCAGCUAAUGAAUGUAUAGAUAUUCUAUGCCAAAGGCAUUCGUAGGAAUCUGUUAAUCAUUUAACUGUGUCAUGGCAUAUGCUUUGUCUUCAUAAACCAAUUAAAACACAUAACUUCCUCUACUGAAA